GACGAACGCUGGCGGCGUGCCUAAUACAUGCAAGUAGAACGCUGAAGGAAGGAGCUUGCUCUUUCCGGAUGAGUUGCGAACGGGUGAGUAACGCGUAGGUAACCUGCCUGGUAGCGGGGGAUAACUAUUGGAAACGAUAGCUAAUACCGCAUAACAGUAGAUAUCGCAUGAUAGCUGCUUGAAAGGUGCAAAUGCACCACUACCAGAUGGACCUGUGUUGUAUUAGCUAGUUGGUGAGGUAACGGCUCACCAAGGCAACGAUACAUAGCCGACCUGAGAGGGUGAUCGGCCACACUGGGACUGAGACACGGCCCAGACUCCUACGGGAGGCAGCAGUAGGGAAUCUUCGGCAAUGGACGGAAGUCUGACCGAGCAACGCCGCGUGAGUGAAGAAGGUUUUCGGAUCGUAAAGCUCUGUUGUAAGAGAAGAACGAGUGUGAGAGUGGAAAGUUCACACUGUGACAGUAUCUUACCAGAAAGGGACGGCUAUCUACGUGCCAGCCGCCGCCGUAA
rnacentral:rRNA from 1 species